CCUACGGGUGGCAGCAGUGAGGAAUAUUGGUCAAUGGACGCAAGUCUGAACCAGCCAAGUAGCGUGCAGGAUGACGGCCCUCCGGGUUGUAAACUGCUUUUAGUUGGGAAUAAAAGGGGUCUCGUGAGCCCCGUUUUGUAUGUACCAUCAGAAAAAGGACCGGCUAAUUCCGUGCCAGCCGCCGCGGUAAUACGGAAGGUCCGGGCGUUAUCCGUAUAUAUUGGGUUUAAAGGGAGCGUAGGCCGGCUUUUAAGUCAGCUGUGAAAGUCCGGGGCUCAACCGUGGAAUGGCAGUUGAAACUGGAGGCCUUGAGUGCACACAGGGAUGCCGGAAUUCAUGGUGUAGCGGUGAAAUGCUUAGAUAGCGCGAAGAACUCCGAUUGCGAAGGCAGCGUACCGGCGCCAGACUGACGCUGAGGCACGAAAGCGCGGGGAUCGAACAGGAUUAGAUACCCCAGUAGUC
rnacentral:rRNA from 1 species